AAAGAAACCAACAGGGAUUCCCUUAGUAACGGCGAGCGAAAAGGGAAGAGCCCAGCUUGUAAAUCUCCGGUUUUCCGGCGAAUUGUAGUCUGGAGUAGCAUCUCUUAAAGCUGUGUCCGCCCAAGCAUCUUGGAAUAGAUCGCCUUAGAGGGUGAGAGCCCCGUAGGCUGGCAUUUGCUUUUUCACGGAGUGCUUACGCAGAGUCGGGUUGUUUGGGAAUGCAGCCCCAAUUGGGUGGUAAACCCCAUCUAAGGCUAAAUACCUGUGGGAGACCGAUAGCAAAAAAGUACCUCGAGGGAACGAUGAAAAGACCGCUGGCAAGCGAGUGAAAGAGUGCAUGAAAUUGUAUAGUGGGAAGGGAUGGCUUGGCGUGCUGCCUACGGGUAUACACUGCUCUUCGAGCUCUUGAAUACACCGUAGGCUGGCUGGUGCCGGCACUUAUGCUUGCAAAUUCCCAACCUAAGGUGUUUGGUUCUACAAGCGCAAGUGCUGAGGAUGAUCGAAGCUCUGUUUUAAACUGCUCCGACAUAGCACCAGCUGAAGCCUGUCCAUCUA
rnacentral:rRNA from 1 species